UUGAUAGAAACCAAAAAGAGGUAUAUCACUGUUAAUGAUAAAAUUGAGUAACUAACUCCUAUCGAG
rnacentral:tRNA from 1 species